UUUUUUCGCUCUUUUUUUUUUUCUUUUCUUUUUCUUGUUGUUCAGUUGUUUUAGUAAAAGGAAGGCAAGCC
rnacentral:ribozyme from 1 species